UCUCAGGCUGUGACCCUCUAGAGGGAAGCACUUUCUGUUGUCUGGAAGAAAAGAAUGCGCUUCCCUUUAGAGGGUUACUCUCUGAGA
rnacentral:pre_miRNA from 8 species